GACGAACGCUGGCGGCGUGCCUAAUACAUGCAAGUAGAACGCACAGUUUAUACCGUAGCUUGCUACACCAUAGACUGUGAGUUGCGAACGGGUGAGUAACGCGUAGGUAACCUGCCUGGUAGCGGGUCAUAACUAUUGAGAACGAUAGCUAAUACCUCAUAAUCUUCAUUAUUCCAUGAUAAUUAAUUGAAAUGUUCAAUUUCAUCACUACCACAUGGCCCUGCGUUGUAUUAGCUAGUAGGUGAGGUAACGGCUCCCCUAGGCGACGAUAGAUAUCCGAACUGGGAGGGGGAUCGGCCAAACUGGGACUGAGACACGGCCCAGACUCCUACGGGAGGCAGCAGUAGGGAAUCGUCGGCAAUGGACGAAAGGCUGAACGAGCAAAGCCGCGGGAGUGAAGAAGGUUCUCGGAUCGUAAAGCUCUGUUGUAAGAGAAGAAAGGGAGUGAGAAUGGAAAGUUCACACUGUGACGGUAUCUUACCAGAAAGGGACGGCUAACUACGUG
rnacentral:rRNA from 1 species